rnacentral:lncRNA from 1 species
CUGAACAGUUGGGGAAAAUUUGGACAUAAUAUUAAAGCUUGAUACUAUCUGAAUUUGGAUUGUGAUCAAAUUUAUGACGUUAUAUAGGUUUCUGACACAAGGUUAAUUUGGUCGAAGAUCUUAAAUCGUAUGCGCAAUACUGUGCAACUGAAGGUUUCUUCCCGCCCAUAACAUUUUGUUUUCCUUCUAGGAUAAAUAACC